rnacentral:rRNA from 1 species
AUUGAACGCUGGCGGCAGGCCUAACACAUGCAAGUCGAGCGGAGCGGCGGACGGGUGAGUAAUGCCUAGGAAUCUGCCUGGUAGUGGGGGAAAACGUCCGGAAACGGGCGCUAAUACCUCCUAAUAUCAACUCAGCCUAGGCCGGAUUAGCUAGUUGGUGGGGUAAAGGCCUAGCAAGGCGACGAGCCGUAACUGGGCUGAGAGGAUGAUCAGUCAAAGUGGAACAGAGACACGGUCCAGACUCCUACGGGAGGCAGAAGUGGGGAAUUUUGGAGAAGGGGAGAAAGACUGAGCAAGCCAUGCAGCGUGUGUGAAGAAGGUCGUAGGAUUGUAAAGCAAUUUAAGUUGGGAGGCGUUACCAACAGAAUGAGCACCGGCUAACUUCGUGCCAGCAGCCGCGGUAAUUC